rnacentral:rRNA from 1 species
GGAAAAAGCUUGCUUCUUUGCUGACGAGUGGCGGACGGGUGAGUAAUGUCUGGGAAACUGCCUGAUGGAGGGGGAUAACUACUGGAAACGGUAGCUAAUACCGCAUAACGUCGCAAGACCAAAGAGGGGGACCUUCGGGCCUCUUGCCAUCGGAUGUGCCCAGAUGGGAUUAGCUUGUAGGUGGGGUAACGGCUCACCUAGGCGACGAUCCCUAGCUGGUCUGAGAGGAUGACCAGCCACACUGGAACUGAGACACGGUCCAGACUCCUACGGGAGGCAGCAGUGGGGAAUAUUGCACAAUGGGCGCAAGCCUGAUGCAGCCAUGCCGCGUGUAUGAAGAAGGCCUUCGGGUUGUAAAGUACUUUCAGCGGGGAGGAAGGGAGUAAAGUUAAUACCUUUGCUCAUUGACGUUACCCGCAGAAGAAGCACCGGCUAACUCCGUGCCAGCAGCCGCGGUAAUACGGAGGGUGCAAGCGUUAAUCGGAAUUACUGGGCGUAAAGCGCACGCAGGCGGUUUGUUAAGUCAGAUGUGAAAUCCCCGGGCUCAACCUGGGAACUGCAUCUGAUACUGGCAAGCUUGAGUCUCGUAGAGGGGGGUAGAAUUCCAGGUGUAGCGGUGAAAUGCGUAGAGAUCUGGAGGAAUACCGGUGGCGAAGGCGGCCCCCUGGACGAAGACUGACGCUCAGGUGCGAAAGCGUGGGGAGCAAACAGGAUUAGAUACCCUGGUAGUCCACGCCGUAAACGAUGUCGACUUGGAGGUUGUGCCCUUGAGGCGUGGCUUCCGGAGCUAACGCGUUAAGUCGACCGCCUGGGGAUUACGGCCCCAAGGUUAAAACUCAAAUGAAUUGACGGGGGCCCGCACAAGCGGUGGAGCAUGUGGUUUAAUUCGAUGCAACGCGAAGAACCUUACCUGGUCUUGACAUCCACGGAAGUUUUCAGAGAUGAGAAUGUGCCUUCGGGAACCGUGAGACAGGUGCUGCAUGGCUGUCGUCAGCUCGUGUUGUGAAAUGUUGGGUUAAGUCCCGCAACGAGCGCAACCCUUAUCCUUUGUUGCCAGCGGUCCGGCCGGGAACUCAAAGGAGACUGCCAGUGAUAAACUGGAGGAAGGUGGGGAUGACGUCAAGUCCUCAUGGCCCUUACGACCAGGGCUACACACGUGCUACAAUGGCGCAUACAAAGAGAAGCGACCUCGCGAGAGCAAGCGGACCUCAUAAAGUGCGUCGUAGUCCGGAUUGGAGUCUGCAACUCGACUCCAUGAAGUCGGAAUCGCUAGUAAUCGUGGAUCAGAAUGCCACGGUGAAUACGUUCCCGGGCCUUGUACACACCGCCCGUCACACCAUGGGAGUGGGUUGCAAAAGAAGUAGGUAGCUUAACCUUCGGGGGGGGG